UUGCUGUAAACCCACCUGUGUGAAUGUACCCUUAGGGUGAGUUCACACAUAUAGGAUCUGCUACAGAUCUGAUGGAGUGUUCAAUCACUCAGCAUACAUUUAAAUUUGCAGCAUAAAACUGGCCAUUUCCAAUCUGCAGAAGAUCCUAUGGGUAUUAAUACACUUAAAGGGUGUGGUCACAUGUGCAGUAUUUUUCUACAUAUAUUCCUACCCAUUGGCCUUAAUGGGUUGCAAAAUCUGAAAAUACACAGCAAAAUAGGGCACGCCACCAGCCGCAGCAGGGAGCUCGCUCUAGGGACUAGCGUUGGCGCAUCCGGAGCGUACAAUACACUGCAGAUGCACUACAUGUGACCCUCCUGGUGUCAAAACGCGAAAAGGACAAACUUCUGUCAGAAGGUUUUAGUAUUGACAUAUACGAUUAAAAAACUUUCUACACAAAAACAAAACAAAAAAAACUAUUCCUUCCUUAGCAUAAAGAAAAACGCUUCAGAACUACAUUUCCCAUCAUGCCAUAACUGCUUCCUGCAGCCACCACUAGAGGGAGCUCCUGUUCACCAAAGCAGUUUCUAACUUCCUCAGCUCCCCCUAGUGGUGGCAGGCAGAAGCGAAAUUCCAUCCGAAGCCACCGAUACGAAAUAUCGCAGCCACACAUAUCACAACUUGUCACGAUAUCUUGUUACAAUAUCCCAGCGGAGAACAACCACACCAAAAAACCGAGUGGACGAGUGCUGUUACCUCACAGCAACACGGCGACAACUACAGCUCCACACACGGCGUCGCCAUAACCAGACUCUCCAACCACCCUGCACGGCUGCGGAUAUCUACCUCACCACAUACAGUCGUGACUGAACCCGGAGCAGAGGCCGCCACGUCCCGUCACACACGGGCAUUACUGAGAUCCGUGUAUGCAGAGGACUACUCUGGAUUUGGUGGACUAUGGUGACCAGCGUGUUUUUUUUUUUGUGUUCAACCCCUUAACGCAAAUGGACGUACAUUUGCAUCCAUUUGCGGCUCUGCAGGGCUCUUUGAUGUGCAUCACCCCAUCUCUGGUUCAUAUUUUGCCUGUGAUUAGUCAGUGAUGAAUCAGAAGACAGAACCUGUUUGAAAGGAUCAGAUGAAAACUCUUGGCU